rnacentral:rRNA from 1 species
CGAAAGGGCUCUGGUUAAUACCUGGGGCAUAUGACGGUACCGUAAGAAUAAGCACCGGCUAACUACGUGCCAGCAGCCGCGGUAAUACGUAGGGUGCGAGCGUUAAUCGGAAUUACUGGGCGUAAAGCGUGCGCAGGCGGUUAUGUAAGACAGAGGUGAAAUCCCCGGGCUCAACCUGGGAACGGCCUUUGUGACUGCAUGGCUAGAGUGCGGCAGAGGGGGAUGGAAUUCCGCGUGUAGCAGUGAAA